GGCAUGAAAACGGUAAGAAUCGCCCUCUCACGGCGGUAACGCGGGUUCGAAUCCCGCUGGGGUCA
rnacentral:tRNA from 1 species